GAUGAACGCUGGCGGCGUGCCUAAUACAUGCAAGUCGAACGAACAGACCCUGCGUUUGUUCCUUUCACGUUUGGCGCGCACGGGUGUAUCACACGUGGAUCCCCUCCUUAUCUUUCUGGUAUCUUCUCGGGACUCCGGCUAAUAUCGCAUAGAAUCUAUUGAUCCGCAUGGUUGAUUAGUGAAUUUCGGCUUUGCUGUAUCUUCUCGAUGCUUCUCCGCGGCUUUUGCUGGUUGUUAAGGUAACGGCUUACUAAGGCAACGAUGCGUAGCCGACCUGAGAGGGUGAUCGGCCACACUGGAACUGGGACACGGUCAAGACGCCUACGGGAGGCAGCAGUAGGGAAUCGUCCGCAAUGGGCGAAAGCCUGACGGAGCAACGCCGAGUGAGAGAUGAAGGUCUUCGGAUCGUAAAACUCUGUUAUUAGGGAAGAACAAAUGUGUAAGUAACUAUGCACGUCUUGACGGUACCUAAUCAGAAAGCCACGGCUAACUACGUG
rnacentral:rRNA from 1 species